CGCCAUUAAACCAAAAGAAGAAGAUGAAGAUCGUAACGUCAGCUCAUCGUAAGCAAUAGAUUAUUCACCCAGUGUUUAUUCACAAGAUUGACCGAAGCUUAUUUAUGACCAAAUUAUGAACAAUGACCCACCCUGAGGCUGUAAGAGUGUGCCUGAUGAGAGAAUGCGUACUUGAAGCAGUUAUAGGACUUAAUAUAUUCAAGAAGACCAAGCGAUCCUUAUAGGACUACAUGCAAAGCAAUGUACUCCAGACCGCACAACUGGACAUACAGGUGGCCAUGCACGUACCAGUCAUUGUCUUAAGCCCAGGAUACACUGCAAGAUUUUUGCUCUCCUAUAAUAUCAUUACCUUAUCACACUGUGCGACAUGGAUCAUUUAAACUUGGGUACGACAAGCAUGUAGACUGUAUAAUGAUGACACCUAUUGACUCAUAGGUUGUGAUGACUGUGACUCCAGUUAAGUGCAAUGUCACCAGCAUGUGCUAGUGUUAAACAAAUACUGGUAAGCUGGUCGACAUAGGACCACCGAAGAGCCACGAUCACAGAAAUUGCCACAAAUGUUUCACGAUGGUAAUCUUUCGUUUGGGACCGCCAAAAAUCAUGCAGUGUAUCCCAGGCUAUAUCCUCCCCUCCGUCUAGUCAUCAUCUCAUUAAUUAUGAGAUGCGCUGUCAGUGCUUUUUCUUUCUGACUCUUCUCUGUUCUCUCCAGAUUGUGCCCUGAUGCCAUCUGCCCCGUUCUCCCAGCCUCAUCUUCCCUCUCUAUGCCUAGCUUCACAUCGGUUGGCUCUUCUUUGGCUCUCUUCAUCCCGUCUGCCUGCCUCGUUGCUCUCCCUGAUAACAUUUCCUGACUGAUGCCUUGCACUUUGACUCUUUCUGCAAGGUGCCAUUCUCAGCAGUGACUCAAUUUAGUGCCACCCUGCUGCUUGGCAUUGCACUUCUGAGGUCAUCACCAUCUUUCUUCAGCCAACCAAAAUGAUUCUCACCAACCACCCCAGCUCUGCUAAGCUUGAUGUUGGAGGUCUGCUGUUUUUGAAGCAGGGGACCACUGUCCAUUUAAAGGCUUCAUAAACCAUUUAACAAAAUCACAUAAGAUAGGGUAGUUCAUACUCCAUGCGAUGUGCCAUACAAUGGAAGGGCCAUGUUCCUUAUCACAUCUGGAUACUGCAAAGCUCCUGUCUCCUCAACAAUUUACGAACUAAUCAAUUAUUAAAUGAAGAAAUGCUAUGGAAAAGCAAAGAUAUUUCUUCCUGUGGAGUUUGAGUCUUAAAUUUAGUAAUUACUGUUUAAUUGCAUAAAUAAAAGUUAAAUAUUAUGUUAUUUUAAAAGCAUCAUGUAUCUUUCUUCAUUCCUAAUGUAUUCUACUAGUAGUGUGUCAGGCACUUUAACCCUUAUGAAAAAAGCCAAGGAAAAUAGAGAGCAUCAUAUCAAAACAACUGUUUAUUUGCACAUGCAACAUUAAACUAUGGUAUACAUCUCUGUUUUCAUUACAAUAUUGAAAAGGAUGAGUAUUUGGAGUCUACAGUACUGCUUGCUCCAUCUCCAGCAAAGAUAAAAACAUCCCAAGAAAAAGGAGUCAUUCACAUAGUAUUCCUCUUUUUACAACCGCAACACAUUUUACACAGACAACACAGCAUCUGGAGGAUGUAUAUGAUCCUCA